AAGUACUCCUUAGAGUAGGGGAGUUAGGGGUGCCAGGAAGGGCAAGAGUGGGGCGCAGAGUCUAGCUGUAGUGAAAUCUUUUGGUGGGGGUUCGGGAGGGGGGGCAAAAGUCUCGGUGGGGAGCAGAGGAGGCCCUGGAGCAGCGGCUGAGGCACAGGAAGGAGGGAGGUGGAAGAGAGCCGGGGCGCUGAGCUGCGGAGAGAGGGUCUGGAAGGGCUCGGGCCUAGGGAAGAGCCGCUACGAGGAGGGGACCGGACAGGUGCAGAGAGCGCGCGAGCCAGAGAGCGGGAGCGCGGGGAGAAGGACGCAGCGCCACACAUCAUCUAAGACGGCUCGCCACCGCGUGCGGGGACGCGCAGAAAGACAGAACCACACUUUCAGGGCAAGGGACACCCAAGGGUUCUGAAUCCCAGAUCCAUCAGAGAAGAGAAGACAUGUGGGCACACUGGGGCCACCAACGUACACACCAUGACAUGGGACGUGUGGAGAGUCUGUCACCUGUCCACGUGUGAGCAGACACAUGGGCAUCUCUGGCCGUGCUUGCCCACAGCCAGAGAAGCGCACAUGUUGCGAAGCCAGCCGCGCAGUCAACAGGGACACAAGCGCACCCAUCUGCACCGAGGGCUGCAGGGCACAGCCUUGGUUCGGGUAGGUAUCAGGUUCAGGGCUCACUGCCCAUACAUGCACGUGGAUGCUUCAUGCACACAUACACAUUCUCAUCCCCCAUAUACAAGCACCCCAUCUUGGCCCCAGCCCCACCCUACCCCG